GACGAACGCUGGCGGCGUGCUUAACACAUGCAAGUCGAACGGAAAGGCCCUGCUUUUGUGGGGUGCUCGAGUGGCGAACGGGUGAGUAACACGUGAGUAACCUGCCCUUGACUUUGGGAUAACUUCAGGAAACUGGGGCUAAUACCGGAUAGGAGCUCCUGCUGCAUGGUGGGGGUUGGAAAGUUUCGGCGGUUGGGGAUGGACUCGCGGCUUAUCAGCUUGUUGGUGGGGUAGUGGCUUACCAAGGCUUUGACGGGUAGCCGGCCUGAGAGGGUGACCGGCCACAUUGGGACUGAGAUACGGCCCAGACUCCUACGGGAGGCAGCAGUGGGGAAUAUUGCACAAUGGGCGGAAGCCGGAUGCAGCAACGCCGCGUGCGGGAUGACGGCCUUCGGGUUGUAAACCGCUUUCGCCUGUGACGAAGCGUGAGUGACGGUAAUGGGCAAAGAAGCACCGGCUAACUACGU
rnacentral:rRNA from 1 species